AGAAUCAACGCUGGCGGCGUGCCUAACACAUGCAAGUCGCACGAGAAAGGGGCUUCGGCUCUGAGUAAAGUGGCGCACGGGUGAGUAACACGUGAAUUAUCUACCUCCGAGUGGGGAAUAACUGAGAGAAAUCUUAGCUAAUACCGCAUAACACUUACGAGUCAAAGCAGCAAUGCGCUUGGAGAGGAGUUCGCGGCCGAUUAGUUAGUUGGCGGGGUAAUGGCCCACCAAGACGAUGAUCGGUAUCCGGCCUGAGAGGGCGCACGGACACACUGGAACUGAAACACGGUCCAGACUCCUACGGAGGCAGCAGUGGGGAAUUUUGCGCAAUGGGGGAAACCCUGACGCAGCAACGCCGCGUGGAGGAUGAAAUAUCUUGGUAUGUAAACUCCUUUCGAUGGGGAAGAUUAUGACGGUACCCAUAGAAGAAGCCCGGCUAACUUCGCGCCAGCAGCCGC
rnacentral:rRNA from 1 species